UACGAAGGGGGCUAGCGUUGCUCGGAAUUACUGGGCGUAAAGGGCGCGUAGGCGGAUGUUUAAGUCAGAGGUGAAAGCCCAGGGCUCAACCUUGGAACUGCCUUUGAUACUGGACAUCUUGAGUAUGGGAGAGGUGAGUGGAACUCCGAGUGUAGAGGUGAAAUUCGUAGAUAUUGGGAAGAACACCGGUGGCGAAGGCGGCUCACUGGCUCGUAUCUGACGCUCAGGCGCGACAGCGUGGGGAUCAAACAGG
rnacentral:rRNA from 1 species